UACGGAAGGGGCGAGCGUUGUUCGGAAUCAUUGGGCGUAAAGGGCGCGUAGGUGGUUCUGUAUGUCUACCGUGAAAGCGUACGGCUCAACCGUAUUUUGUCGGUAGAAACUGCAGGACUUGAGGCUGGGAGGGGCUGGUGGAAUUCCCUGUGUAGCGGUGAAAUGCGUAGAGAUGGGGGAGAACACGCGUGGCGAAGGCGGCCAGCUAGACCAGUUCUGACACUGAGGCGCGACAGCGUGGGGAGCAAACAGG
rnacentral:rRNA from 1 species